rnacentral:rRNA from 1 species
UCCCAGACUCCUACGGGAGGCAGCAGUGGGGAAUAUUGCACAAUGGGGGGAACCCUGAUGCAGCGACGCCGCGUGGGUGAAGGAGCACCUCGGUGCGUAAAGCCCUAUCGGCAGGGAAGAAACAGACGGUACCUGACUAAGAAGCCCCGGCUAACUACGUGCCAGCAGCCGCGGUAAUACGUAGGGGGCAAGCGUUAUCCGGAUUCACUGGGUGUAAAGGGAGCGUAGACGGUUGUGCAAGUCAGAAGUGAAAGCCCGGGGCUCAACUCCGGGACUGCUUUUGAAACUGUGAAACUGGAGUGCAGGAGAGGUAAGCGGAAUUCCUGGUGUAGCGGUGAAAUGCGUAGAUAUCAGGAGGAACACCAGUGGCGAAGGCGGCUUACUGGACUGUAACUGACGUUGAGGCUCGAAAGCGUGGGGAGCAAACAGGAUUAGAUACCCCUGUAA